rnacentral:rRNA from 1 species
GAUGAACGCUGGCGGCGCGCCUAACACAUGCAAGUCGAACGGCACCCCUCCUCGGAGGGAAGCGAGUGGCGAACGGCUGAGUAACACGUGGAGAACCUGCCCACUCCCCCGGGAUAGCCGCCCGAAAGGACGGGUAAUACCGGAUACCCCGGGGUGCCGCAUGGCACCCCGGCUAAAGCCCCGACGGGAGGGGAUGGCUCCGCGGCCCAUCAGGUAGACGGCGGGGUGACGGCCCACCGUGCCGACAACGGGUAGCCGGGUUGAGAGACCGACCGGCCAGAUUGGGACUGAGACACGGCCCAGACUCCUACGGGAGGCAGCAGUGGGGAAUCUUGCGCAAUGGGGGGAACCCUGACGCAGCGACGCCGCGUGCGGGACGGAGGCCUUCGGGUCGUAAACCGCUUUCAGCAGGGAAGAGUCAAGACUGUACCUGCAGAAGAAGCCCCGGCUAACUACGUG